rnacentral:rRNA from 1 species
CGUGUCGUGAGAUGUUGGGUUAAGUCCCGCAACGAGCGCAACCCUUGCCAUUAGUUGCUACAUUUUAAGGUGAGCACUCUAAUGGGACUGCCGGUGACAAACCGGAGGAAGGUGGGGAUGACGUCAAGUCCUCAUGGCCCUUAUGGGUAGGGCCUCACACGUCAUACAAUGGCGCAUACAGAGGGUUGCCAACCCGCGAGGGGGAGCCAAUCCCAGAAAGUGCGUCGUAGUCCGGAUUGGAGUCUGCAACUCGACUCCAUGAAGUCGGAAUCGCUAGUAAUCGCGGAUCAGUAUGUCGCGGUGAAUACGUUCCCGGGUCUU